UCUGUGGCCUGCCUUGUGCAGGAGGUCAGACUAGAUGAUCAUAUUGGUCCCUUCUGACCUAUGAGUCUAUGAGUAAGAGCACGGGAUGAAAAAGCAGCAUUUAUUCCUCUAGACACUGCUUUACUGCUCUCCUAAUUCCAACCUCUACUCCACCUUCACAGCAAUAAUCCCGUGAAAGGAUCUCUGUGCAGAGAGGAGCUGCUGAAACGACUGGGUACUUUGUGACAGGCCCCACUGCUGGGUGGGAGAUCCCUUCCUGAUUUAGCCAUUGGGAAAUUCACACCCCUCUCCCUGUUGGGUAUCAGUUAAGAUUGCUGCAGACAAGCAAGGAUGGGAAAAGUUAAGCCACCUAAUCUGACCCACCCUUCCACCCACAGCUAUACACUUCAUUGCUAGAGCAGUUGCCGAAUGCCCCAGCCUUGAUUCUUCUCCCUAGGCAUGCCAGCCUCCAGCACUCCAGGGAGCUGGCUUCCCAAAGCUCUGCAGAGAAGUGGGUGAGGGUGUCAAGCUGGUCUUUGUUGUGAUGUGGGGUUGGGGCCAGCACAUCCCAGAGAGAGAGAGAAAGAGAGGGAGAGAGAG